CAGUCGCCGCGGGAAUACGAAGGGUGCAAGCGUUAAUCGGAAUUACUGGGCGUAAAGCGCGCGUAGGUGGUUUGGUAAGAUGGAUGUGAAAUCCCCGGGCUCAACCUGGGAACUGCAUCCAUAACUGCCUGACUAGAGUACGGUAGAGGGUGGUGGAAUUUCCUGUGUAGCGGUGAAAUGCGUAGAUAUAGGAAGGAACACCAGUGGCGAAGGCGACCACCUGGACUGAUACUGACACUGAGGUGCGAAAGCGUGGGGAGCAAACAGGAUUAGAUACCCCCUAGUCCCUGUCUCUUAUACA
rnacentral:rRNA from 1 species